AGAGUUUGAUCAUGGCUCAGGACGAACGCUGGCGGCGUGCCUAAUACAUGCAAGUCGAACGAGAGCGACCGGUGCUUGCACUGGUCAAUCUAGUGGCGAACGGGUGAGUAACACGUGGGUAACCUGCCCAUCAGAGGGGGAUAACAUUCGGAAACGGAUGCUAAAACCGCAUAGGUCUUCGAACCGCAUGGUUUGAAGAGGAAAAGAGGCACAAGCUUCUGCUGAUGGAUGGACCCGCGGUGCAUUAGCUAGUUGGUGAGGUAACGGCUCACCAAGGCCGUGAUGCAUAGCCGACCUGAGAGGGUGAUCGGCCACAUUGGGACUGAGACACGGCCCAAACUCCUACGGGAGGCAGCAGUAGGGAAUCUUCCGCAAUGGACGCAAGUCUGACGGAGCAACGCCGCGUGAGUGAAGAAGGUUUUCGGAUCGUAAAACUCUGUUGUUAGAGAAGAACAAGUGCUAGAGUAACUGUUAGCGCCUUGACGGUAUCUAACCAGAAAGCCACGGCUAACUACGUGCCAGCAGCCGCGGUAAUACGUAGGUGGCAAGCGUUGUCCGGAUUUAUUGGGCGUAAAGCGAGCGCAGGCGGUUCCUUAAGUCUGAUGUGAAAGCCCCCGGCUCAACCGGGGAGGGUCAUUGGAAACUGGGGAACUUGAGUGCAGAAGAGGAGAGUGGAAUUCCAUGUGUAGCGGUGAAAUGCGUAGAUAUAUGGAGGAACACCAGUGGCGAANGCGACUCUCUGGUCUGUAACUGACGCUGANGCUCGAAAGCGUGGGUAGCAAACAGGAUUAGAUACCCUGGUAGUCCACGCCGUAAACGAUGAGUGCUAAGUGUUGGANGGUUUCCGCCCUUCAGUGCUGCAGUUAACGCAUUAAGCACUCCGCCUGGGG
rnacentral:rRNA from 1 species